GAGAGCUCUAGGAGACACGAGGUGACAGUCAAGAGCAACAAGCUUUGCCAAGACCAGAGGGAGCCCUUUUGGGGGGGGUUCCCCACCACCCACAGGUCCUAGGGCCCCGAAAGGCCACACAAAAGAUGACUAGGCAAGGGUGGCAGAUCCACGUGGCAGAACAAAGGACACCAGGGGUGACUGUGUCAGAGGAAAGGCUGGACCCUUUGAAGGUCUGACUGGUCACGUGCUCAUGGGCAGCCGUUGUCAGGGUGAGGUUGAAACCUCUACCCAGCUUCCCCUCAUCCCAACCGCCUGUCCAGACACGAGUAGCUGGCUUUUAGGGGUUCCUGACGGAGACUGUUGACAAACUACUUUCUCUUAUGACCAUUGGAGGGCAGUAAGAUUUAAGAUGGCCUAAUAGUUGCUUCAGGAACUACACCCUGGAAAGAUCACUUAAGCUUUGGAUUCCUCAGUAUGACAGCAUCCAGCCAUUUGGCUUCUGUGGGCUCUGUCGGAUGGGGAUUUGUCUUGGGACACACAUUCAAAUGACAAGGAACAAAGUAUGGGGGGGAGACCUCAAUCGAGUGGUAGCCCCAGCUUUCAGCCAGCCUCUCCCUUAAACCCCACCUCCCUUCCCAGAGUCACCCUCAACUGUCUCCAUAGCUGCACUCUCUAGAGAGAAGAUGUGAAUUACCUAUGUGAUUCUAAAGUCUUUCCUUAACCACACCACAUAAGAAACAGGUGAUGACAUUAUGUUUUAGCUCUGCAUUUCAUUCGACAUUCAGUUUAUUAAGAUAGGUCAUGAAUAUUGAAAUUACCUAUGAGAUCACUUACCAACUACACCAUAUCUCUGAAACCUACACCUAGGGUACAUCUCACUCCGGCUACCCUCCUUGCGGGGCUCCCUUGGGAACGCAUGAGCAGCACGAGUUCCAGGUCAGGCCCCUGUCUGCUGGUCCACACACAGAGACAUUGCUGGGAAGAGCCCAGGCUAAUGCUGCCUGCUGGCUGGCUGCUGUCAUCUGCACUGUCCAGGAGAGCCUUGGAGGUCCCCCUUCCUAGACCUACCUCCCAAGGCCAGAGCACCCAGUUUGCCACCCACCUCAUUUCCCAGCCUUUCUUCUGAGAACCCUCCAUCCUAGCGUUCUCAAGUCUACCACCCGGGCAUUGGGUGAUGCCAGCAAUGGGAAAAGAGUAGCGUACGGUGGAGACGCUAGUCUGCAGCAGACUGGAUGUGGAGAGCGCAAAAGGCUCUUGUGUCUGGCUGUGGUAGGAACUAUCUGUCAUCGGUCUGUUCCCCCAGUCCUGUGACCGUACCUAUUUGGUCCAUUACAAGAUCUUGACUCAAAGUAGAGGAAAACCCUGAGAAGUUUGGAGUUCUGACAAGUAGGUUUCCACAUCAGUCUGACAGGCGGAGGGAGUGAAGGACCAGAAAGAAACACAGAUUGCUCCCAAGUAGGAUCAAGGGCCUCUUCCUCUGCUAAAGGGGCCCAGCAGGCGGCCAUUGUGAGAUCCUUAUGGGUUUGAUAAAGGACUGGAGUCUCUCAUUUCGUCCAGCUACUUUGGACAAUACUGGCAGCCAGAGGGUGUCACUCUGGGUCAUUAUCCUCAAACCCUGUGGUUCCAAACCAGCUUUAGCAUCCUGGGCCACUGGUCCUCAGAUAGCACUGGGCUCUUCACAAGUCCACCCCUGAAGGGCCCAGGUACUGAUCUCUCCUCACUAAGGUCGAGCUAUCUUCUGUACCCACUCUGCAGGAAACAGACGAGAAGGACACACAAAACAUCAGAACACCAUUGGGGGUCAACACCAAUAAACGCUACUCGUCCAAGGCAGGUGGCUUUGGCUGUCCCUGUCAAUGGCUGAUGGCAAGUCAAGGACCACGGCUGCCUGUUACAGUUGACUUUCCGUAUCCGAGGACAGCUACUUCACUCACCCCUUCUGAAGAUCCAUCCGUUCUCGCUACCUACCCAGACAAGGUCUCACUUGCCGGAGGUGUGUAGAGAGGGCUGCAGCAGGUGGACCUCUGUGUUAGGGCAACCAUGCUGUGACACAGGUGCCCCGUCUCUUUGGAUUUUGGAGGCUGAGGGAUCUCAGUGUGGGGAUUAAUCCUGAGAUACAGGUUCCAUAGGGAUGUGAACUAGAAUUUCCAGAAAGAAGUCUGGCCUGUGUUUAAUAUCCUGCAAGGCUGACUGACUGAUUAAAAUUAGUCUGUGAUUGUACAGAGUUUGAAUGUUGCAGGUCCAGAGCCAAAUUAUCUUGGGCUAUCUCUGGUUUCCUUAGCAGAUAGUCAUUGCCAACCUCCAUGUGUAACCUAACACCCAUCCUUGUGACUGAGGUAAAUCCUUUUGGAUAUAUGCACUAGCUUCCCUUGAUCCGAAGGCUAAGAAUGCCAUCAGAUAACAUCUGGGGCCUAUAACAGAUCCCCCAGUUAGCUGUCACCCACCUGUCUUCAUGUUCCCAGUAAAUUUCAAAAGUGUUCUUGACUUAUGACUUUCCUCAUGUUAUUACCACUGAUUCUCUUAAAACUUAUACCACCUUUGGUUGUGGUGUUUGGGGCAACCAGAGCCGCUCAUCUUUGGCUCCAGAAAAAACAAAAACCAAAAACCAAAAAAUGUUCUUUAUUUCCUUGAAGCGAGAGCCAUGUCUUUGUAUUGAUGGAGAAUUCACAUAAGCCAUAUGGACUUGGGCAGGGGACUGAUUUAGAGGCUGCCGUGGGACCAGCACCAGCUGUCACAGCCAGGCUGAUGCCUGCAGAGGGGUAAAGAGGUCCACGAAAUUCAGCGGAUUUCCUCCUCCUGAAAGAGACCCGGGACAGCCUACUGCUUAUCUGAAGAGCAGGGCUUUCAUUUCAGCUGUCUGUGUGACAGAGCUCGUGUGGAACCCAGACAACUAACUUAAAUCAGACUGUACGGUUGGCUCGGAGCCAAUGGCAGCAAGCCCAUCCUCGGGCAGCCAGGGAAAGGGCGUGGCAAAUAGAAGACAAAGAAGGAGCAGAGAAAGAGAAACACGUACCCAGUGUCCAUGUGGCCUGCUCUAAACACUGCCCAGAGUGAGAGAAGCAGAAACAGAAAUUGACGAAGAUAACCAAAGCCUUACAAUUUCAUGGCACUCAGUUUCCAAGUACACACAGACACCAUUCUGCAUGGGAGACAAGUCAGAGAAAGAAUUAUUUCUGCUUCUCCGGUGGAAAACCAAGAAAACUCUGAGAUCACACAGCUGAGUGCUUUGGGUGGAAAUGGUUCUGGUACCCCUGGCACAUACAAAUAAGAAGAUACAUUCUCAUUCUAGCGCGUGCACGCACACACACACACACACACACACACACACACACACACACACCUGCCCUACGCACAUGCCAGAUGCACACACACGUAAAGGCGGGAAUGAACACCAGAGACAAGGAUCAGGACAAGAUGUCUCGGGGUUCAAGCAGAAGGAGCCAGCUGAGACUGCAGAUGGUCCUUGGCCACAGAAAGAAAUGAAAAUCUCUUCUCCACCUCCAGCGCCAGUUAAGUCAGAGACACACACUCCAAGGCUGUUGAGUCAACUGUCCAGCAUGCUCGCCCAGCAUGCUCGCCCAGCAUGCUCCUCUGGCCUUCCUCCCCACUUCCCACCCAGGUACUCAGACAGACAAUUUACCCUGUUGGGGCUGCCGCCGCACUGGCUCUCACUGAGAGGUGGUGGCGUCGGAGGGACCACAGAGAUUUUGCUGCUAAGGAGAAACACAAGAAAAAUGGGUUAGAACUACUUAAGGCUUACAGAUUUACAAAUGCCUGAGUUUAUCAUUUCAAGUUCUUGCUUUGCGUCAUUUUUAAGAAAAUGACAUGGCAGCGGCACUGCUUGUUGCUGCUUCUCUGUGCGCUGUGCCUGAGUAUGGAUGUGAGGACGUCACCGCCUUCAGCCCAGGCAUCCACUUCUCCAGCACAUUCUGAAGCCACUGGGGGACCUUGGCUCUCCCUCUGAGCUGCUCUUGGACCCAGGCUUCAUAUGUGGAGUCCUAUUUGGACUAUUGUAUUCUUAGUGCAAUCCACACCAGCACAAGAGCCAAAAUGGGAAAAGAAAAGAAAAGAAAAGAAAAAAAACUCAACAAUGUGAGAAAAACUGCAAGCACAAGCUGAGAGAAAUAAGAACAAAUGUGGGAAGGGAAAUAAAAAAAGUAGAAAGUGGAUGUGCUCACACGCCUGUAAUCUCUGUGCUGGGUAGGCUGUGGCAAGAAGAUCGCCAGCAACCCCUGGACAGCCUGGACUAUACAACAAUGACCAGACCACAGGGCUAUACGGAAAGACAAGGAGGAAGAGAAAGGGAGAGGAGGAGGUUGAAGGGGGAAGAGGAGGAGGAGGAAGAGAAGGAGAAAGAAGAAGAGGAAGACAAGGGGGAAGAAGAGGAGGAGGAGAAAAAGGAAGAGGUGGAAGAGAAAGAGGAUGAAAAGGAGGAAGAGGAGGAUGAAGAGGAGGAGGGGGAGAGGAGGUUCUAAGUUCUGAGACUGGAUACAUUUCAUCAUGAACCAUGGGAACUCUCAGUGACAGUCACUAAACUCAGCAGAACAGGGUGUGUGGCCUGCUGCAUCAAGGCUGCCAGAGACUCAGAAGUCUGUGCAAAGAUGUUAACUUCUCUUAGAACACUGGCUCAACAUUUUUAACUUCAAAAGUGUUAUGAGGUACAUUCCCAACCAGGGAAGAUGCCAGAGAAAGGAAGAAAAGUGGAAGCAACUGCUUGGUUUAGAAUGGUGUCAGGUGCACCGUCCAAGACAGUUCACUCUUUACAGCAUCUCGGGGGAAUUUGAGGGGGACGAUAGUACAUGUAAACACAGGAUCGCUAGAGGGCUCCUCAAGAGAAUCUAGAAGCUCCUCUCGACCUUUUCCAGGAACUUUAUAAUUUAAGUCAUGUUCCAGAGCAGUGACCUCUGAAGGUCAGGGAUGUGUGAGUUCUUUCAGGUGUCCUCUGAGCUCCUGCUGACAUGGGACUCUCUGUCCUGUACUCACCUCUGCCUCUGAUAAGAUUGUAGGAGCCUCGCCCCAGCGGUCUCGCGUCUGCCUGGGGGAGAGACAAGCCAAGGGCAGUCAGUACCAAGAACAAACUGUAGGUGAUACAAACCCAGCAAUCGAUAUAUUCAAAUUGUUUUUUUUUAAAGAUUUAUUUAUUUAUUAUAUAUGAGUACACUAUAGCUGUCUUCAGAACACCAGAAGAGGGCAUCGGAUCUCUUUACAGAUGGUUGUGAGCCACCAUGUGGUUGCUGGGAAUUGAACUCAGGACCUUUGGAAGAGCAGUCGGUGCUCUUAACCGCUGAGCCAUCUCUCCAGCCCUCAAAUUGUUUUAAUAUAACUUCUUGUUAUUAAAAAGAGAUCUUUGGGGGAUGACAGAAAUGCUCAAAAAUCAGAUGGCGGAGGCAGGGUCAGAUGGUGGAGGCAGGUAAAGGCACUACCCCCAAAUCUGCCAACCUGAGCUUCAUCCCCCCCCAAAUCCACAUGGCUCAGGGUACAGAAGAUUCCUGAAAGCUGUUUCUGGUCACUACACAUGUGCUUGGUACAUUCACGCAUGUGUACAUGCAUGCACACACACAUACAUACACAUACACACAGACACAUACACACACAUACACACACACACACACAUUCACACACACACUACUUAGGGCUGGAGAAAUGGCUCCCACCACCCACAUGGCAGUUCACAACCAUCUACAACUCCAAUCUCAGGCUAUUCAAUAAUGUCUUCUGGCCUCUGUAGGCAUGCAUGUGGAAUGUAGACUUCUAUACAGACAAAACACUCAUACAUAUAAAAAAUAAACAUAAAAAUAUAGAUGUGGUAUUAUUGUAUAGCUUUCCAUCCACUGGACAACUGUUGACUUGUUAACAGCCCUGGCCACCUACCCACCCACCCAUACACUUUAAUCCAUCAUGUCUGGGAAUGUCUGCUUCAAUUAGAAGUUAAUGUUGAAUCAGAUUUUCUAAAUCUGGGCAAUUUGAAACAAUCCUUCAAGUUCCUUGGUACCUUCCCCCCAGGAAACACUGCAUAAUUGAAUGUAUCCCUUGAAAUGACCCUUGUGACGAAGACUUAACCUAAUCUCUUUAAAAACGUAAUCUCCUUAAGUCUAGCAGAGUAACUAAUUAACUUUCCUAAAUCAGACCGCACCUGCCCUUUUUGUUUCAUGAUGUAUUAAACCCUCUCAAAUAAAAUCUGUCUGUCCAUG